UCCCUGGCAGUCCAAUGGACAGGACUCUGUGCUUCCACUGUAGGGACCCAGGUUCAACCCCUGGUUAGGGAA
rfam:TPA: Bos taurus chromosome 19, whole genome shotgun sequence.